rnacentral:rRNA from 1 species
UACGUAGGCAGCGAGCGUUGUUCGGAAUUACUGGGCGUAAAGAGUGUGUAGGCGGUGCUCUAAGUUCGGGUGUGAAAUCUCCCGCUUAACUGGGAGGGUGCGCCGGAAACUGGAGUGCUCGAACGUGGGAGAGGAAAGCGGAAUUCCUGGUGUAGCGGUGAAAUGCGUAGAUAUCGAGGAGGAACACCUGCGGUGUAGACGGCUUUCUGGACCAUGUUGACGCUGGAGAACACGGAAAGCGUGGGUAGCAAACAGG